UACAUUUUGUAGAACAAGAAUUAGGCUCGUACGCAAGGAAAAGUAGAUCUUGGGGACAAAUAGUAGAUAAAAAUGUUCAAUCUCUGAUAAGUUAUACUUUAAUUAAUUAGAUGAUACGGCGCAUAUAAUUAAUUAAAGUUGGUGUAAAAAAUGAACGAAAAGCUUAGGUAAAGUUAGAAAUGGCUACUUCUAAAAUAUUAAAAGAGUAAAGAACGAAUGAAAGUUGAAAUAACCAACAUGUAAAGCAUAAAAAUAAGAAAAAUCAAACAAUUAAAUGUAUCUUAUUCUAAAUGAUCAAACAUUAACCACCAAAGUUUGUGGUGGAGUAAUCAGUAAGUAAUUAACCAAAGUUUUAAGGUUCGAGCCCCAAUAUGAAGUUGUCUUUGGAUAAAGAGUGCUUUAUAAUCCAUAAGGUGGGACUUUCCUGACAUGAAUCUGGAUUAGUCGUCGGGCUUCAAAGUUAGUAUGUAUCAUACAGGGGAGAUGGAAAUAAAAAAAGAUGAUCACAUUAUGGACACAUGAUAUAAUCUUGAUGAAAAGAAAAGUCUCCUUGAUUGAAAGGAUCAAGCUUGUUAUGGCAUGGAGAUGAAUCAGAAGGUGGCACUGGUCCUCUUGGAAGCUGGUUUUGAAGCAAACUCUGAUAAUUCUUCUCUUGUAUAUAUCUUAUGCUUUCAACUUUAGAAGCCAUUGAUGUAAGUAGAAGAAGAAAAACCAAAGCCCUUAGAUUAAAUCUCUCACAAACUGACAUUUUCUUUGCUCCUUUUAUCUUCUUUUUCUUUCACCCUUUAAGAAUGUGUUGAAUGGGAAAAUUAAAUUUUUUUAAGAAUAUGUUGAAGUUUAUAUUAUUCCAUAUAAGAAAGGAUUCAUGGGGCUUGUGCAGACAAAGAGGAA
rnacentral:lncRNA from 1 species